rnacentral:rRNA from 1 species
CCUACGGGUGGCUGCAGUAGGGAAUUUUCGGCAAUGGGGGGAACCCUGACCGAGCAACGCCGCGUGAACGAAGAAGUUAUUCGGAAUGUAAAGUUCUUUUAACAGGGAAGAAAGAGAAAUUUGACGGUACCUGAAGAAUAAGCUCCGGCAAACUACGUGCCAGCAGCCGCGGUAAUACGUAGGGAGCGAGCUUUGUCCGGAAUUAUUGGGCGAAAAGGGUGCGUAGAUGGCAGAGUAAGUUGUUUGUAAAAAUGCUGGGCUAAACCCAGUAGGGCAAAAGAUACUGCAAAGCUAGAGUAUGACAGAGGCAAGUGGAACUACAGGUGUAGCGGUAAAAUGCGUAGAUAUAUGGAAGAACACCAGUGGCGAAGGCGGCUUGCUGGGUCGAGACUGACAUUGAGGCACGAAAGCGUGGGGAGCAAACAGGAUUAGAUACCCCGGUAGUC